CAUUGGCUGCAGCAACAUCUUGGCACGAGCAAGAUCACAAUGUCUGGCAGCAGCGUCCCACGCGCCCUCUUUACCUGUCCUCCUGCAUGUCAAUGGCAGCAGGCAGGCGCAUCUGGUCUCGCGCAAGACCGGCAUCAACGCCAUAAGCUUAAGCGGGAGGAGCAGAAGGCAAGACCUGUGCAUCGUCGCUGAAGCGAGCGCCGCCGCGGCAAAUGUCACGCCGUCCACGCCUCGGGGCAUCAGCGUCAGCGAUGUUCUUUGGCCUUCGGCUGGUGAGUCUCAAGCGUUGAUGUUCUUUUCCAUUCGCUGGUUUCUCUGGAUCUUCAUUGUGCUCCUCCCGCUAAUUUCAGAGAUGUGCUGUCCGAUUUCCUCCUUUCAAUUGUACCUGCCAGACUAUGGCAACUAUUUUGAGUCUUUUUAAAACAUAUUUAUUGACAGAGAGCCAUAGAGUUUCAGGCUGUUACCAAUAAACUUGCAGAAAAUAAAACCUCGAAUUUGACAUGUUUUCCUCUCGUGUUGAUAUCAUAUCAUGCAGGUGCAUUCUUGGCAAUGGCAGUGCUGGGUAAAAUGGAUCAGCUGAUGGCAUUCAAGGGAGUGUCGUUAACAAUUGCACCACUUGGAGCAGUCUGCGCUGUGCUUUUCACCGCUCCAGACUCACCAGCUGCCAAGGUUCGUAGUCAACAACAAAAAAUUAGUCAGGCCAAUUUUAUAUUUGCAACACAGCUAGGAGCCUAGCUGCGUAGGGCAGAUUUAGAAUGACCCAUUUCAUUAUUUAGCUUUAAAUAAAUCAUAUAUGUGCAUAAUGGAUCUAACCCUCUGAAUUUCGCAAAAUAAUACUCCUGAGACACUGCAUCCAUAAGCAGUUGCCAGUUGGCAUCAAGUAUAUAUAACAGUUUGAAUUUCAUGAAGAUUCUAAUCAUGUAAUAAUGUUGUAGAACUCAGUUAAAGUCAACCGUUGUGCUUGCUUUCCUAAGUCAUCAACAAACCCUUAUUUAAUGUUUCUUGGUACUAUCAGUGUGUAAAAUCCCAUGUUGUAGUUUUUCUUUUUCUCAAACACGCAUUUUGAUGUGUGUAAUUUUGUAUUAGGAGUACCAAAGAAAGCAAAACCAAACUCUGAGCUAACAGAGCAAACAGAAAAGAACAAAGCAAAGCUCAACUAUGCUAAGCUAGAAUCAGAACAACAAAAGCAAACAGAAAAAAGCAAGCAAACUUAAACCCAUGUUAUAGCUUUUCAUGUGCCUUAAAGAGAAUCAAGAGAUUUGGAUAACCAAUACUAACACUCUCAGGUGGAAAAACUUGCAGAAAUAUAACAUGUUCGUCGCUCAGAUUGGCUGUGCCGCAAUCGGUGUACUAGCCCUUUCGUUGUUUGGGCCUGGCUGGUUAGCAAGGGGUGCAGCUCUUUCUGCAUGCAUAGCAUUUAUGACAAUCACAGGCUCUUCACAUCCUCCAGGUAAACACCCAAACAUACGUAUUCAAUCUGGUACCAUACCCAAAUAUAUGCAUAUUUGCUCGUGUUUCAGUGAACUCUUCUGUUUUUUUUUUCUUCUGCUUCAGAUGAUAAAAGCAAUUAAGCUAACCUCUUUUUUUGAUGAUUGCAGCUGCGAGCUUGCCUCUCUUGUUUAUUGAUGGUCCCAAAUUUCACAACUUGCAAUUUUGGUAUGCACUUUUCCCCGGAGCUGCAGGCUGCGCCAUUCUUUGCUUGAUUGUAAGUUAAUUGUGCAUCUCACCUUCCUGAAAGUAUAAAAUAGUUAUUAGAUUGAGAAUUGUACAUUGACCCUUUACCGCAUUUGCUGCAGCAAGAAGUGGUGGUUUACCUGAAGAAGAACUGCAAGUUUUGAUUCAAGCAGUAUCAUUUUAUGACCUGAACCAAUGGGUUGAUCAUUAUCCAACCCGUACAACAAAUUGAUAGGCCAG
rnacentral:lncRNA from 1 species